AAUCAACGCUGGCGGCGUGCCUCAGACAUGCAAGUCGAACGCGAAAGGUUCCUUCGGGAGCCGAGUAGAGUGGCGCUCGGGUGAGUAACACGUAGGUAAUUUGCCUUUGGGUGGGGAAUAACAAUCGGAAACGGUUGCUAAUACCGCAUAAUGCAGCGGCUCGACAUCGAGACAGUUGUUAAAGCGGGGGAGUCCUUCGGGACCUCGCGCCUAAAGAGAAGCCUGCGGCGGAUUAGCUAGUUGGUGAGGUAAUGGCUCACCAAGGCGACGAUCCGUAACCGGCCUGAGAGGGCGGACGGUCACACUGACACUUAAAUACGGGUCAGACUCCUACGGGAGGCAGCAGUCGGGAA
rnacentral:rRNA from 1 species